rnacentral:rRNA from 1 species
CGCGGCCUAUCAGCUUGUUGGUGGGGUAACGGCCUACCAAGGCGACGACGGGUAGCCGGCCUGAGAGGGCGACCGGCCACACUGGGACUGAGACACGGCCCAGACUCCUACGGGAGGCAGCAGUGGGGAAUAUUGCGCAAUGGGCGAAAGCCUGACGCAGCGACGCCGCGUGGGGGAUGACGGCCUUCGGGUUGUAAACCUCUUUCAGCAGGGACGAAGUUGACGUGUACCUGCAGAAGAAGCGCCGGCUAACUACGUGCCAGCAGCCGCGGUAAUACGUAGGGCGCAAGCGUUGUCCGGAAUUAUUGGGCGUAAAGAGCUCGUAGGUGGCUUGUCACGUCGGGUGUGAAAGCUUGGGGCUUAACUCCAGGUCUGCAUUCGAUACGGGCUGGCUAGGGGUAGGUAGGGGAGAACGGAAUUCCUGGUGUAGCGGUGAAAUGCGCAGAUAUCAGGAGGAACACCGGUGGCGAAGGCGGUUCUCUGGGCCUUACCUGACGCUGAGGAGCGAAAGCGUGGGGAGCGAACAGGAUUAGAUACCCUGGUAGUCCACGCUGUAAACGUUGGGCGCUAGGUGUGGGGACCUUCCACGGUUUCCGCGCCGUAGCUAACGCAUUAAGUGCCCCGCCUGGGGAGUACGG